rnacentral:rRNA from 1 species
UGCCAGCCGCCGCGGUAAUACGAAGGGAACUAGCGUUGUUCGGAUUUACUGGGCGUAAAGAGCAUGUAGGCGGAUGAAUUAGUCAGAGGUGAAAGCCCCGAGCUCAACUUGGGAACUGCCUUUGAUACUGUCGAUCUAGAGUCUGUGAGAGGGUGGCGGAAUACCCAGUGUAGAGGUGAAAUUCGUAGAUAUUGGGUAGAACACCAGUGGCGAAGGCGGCCACCUGGCACAGUACUGACGCUGAGAUGCGAAAGCGUGGGGAGCAAACAGGAUUAGAUA